rnacentral:lncRNA from 1 species
CAAAAGGUCACUCAUUAUCUCAUAUCUAUCACCAUUAUUAUAAUUUAUUAUAAUAAAACCCUUCAAGAAUGGUUCCUAAUAGAUUUGACAACAGCUUUAUACAAUCAAAUUUCAUAUAUAUGCCAGCACAUAACUAACAAUUAAAAGUAAAAAAGAAAAACACAACUAUUUUCAAAGAGAAGAGAUGGGACAAAAUAAAAAUUACGAGAAAAUAUAAACAAAAUAAAAC